CUUGGUCAUUUAGAGGAAGUAAAAGUCGUAACAAGGUCUCCGUUGGUGAACCAGCGGAGGGAUCAUUACCGAGUUUACAACUCCCAAACCCCUGUGAACAUACCUUAAUGUUGCCUCGGCGGAUCAGCCCGCGCCCCGUAAAACGGGACGGCCCGCCAGAGGACCCAAACUCUAAUGUUUCUUAUUGUAACUUCUGAGUAAAACAAACAAAUAAAUCAAAACUUUCAACAACGGAUCUCUUGGUUCUGGCAUCGAUGAAGAACGCAGCAAAAUGCGAUAAGUAAUGUGAAUUGCAGAAUUCAGUGAAUCAUCGAAUCUUUGAACGCACAUUGCGCCCGCUGGUAUUCCGGCGGGCAUGCCUGUUCGAGCGUCAUUUCAACCCUCAAGCCCCCGGGUUUGGUGUUGGGGAUCGGCUCUGCCCUUCUGGGCGGUGCCCCCCGAAAUACAUUGGCGGUCUCGCUGCAGCCUCCAUUGCGUAGUAGCUAACACCUCGCAACUGGAACGCGGCGCGGCCAUGCCGUAAAACCCCCAACUUCUGAACGUUUGACCUCGGAUCAGGUAGGAAUACCCGCUGAACUUAAGCAUAUCAAUAAGCGGAGGA
rnacentral:rRNA from 1 species